rnacentral:rRNA from 1 species
UACAGAGGGUGCGAGCGUUAAUCGGAAUUACUGGGCGUAAAGCGUGCGCAGGCGGUUCGUUAAGUCAGAUGUGAAAGCCCCGGGCUCAACCUGGGAACUGCAUUUGAAACUGGCGGGCUUGAGUGUGGCAGAGGGGGGUGGAAUUCCGCGUGUAGCAGUGAAAUGCGUAGAGAUGCGGAGGAACACCGAUGGCGAAGGCAGCCCCCCUGGGCCAACACUGACGCUCAGGCACGAAAGCGUGGGGAGCAAACAGG